UACAGGGGGUGCAAGCGUUAUUCGGAAUUACUGGGCGUAAAGAGCGUGUAGGCGGUUUGGUAAGUUUGGUGUGAAAGCCCUGGUCUCAAGCCAGGAAGUGCAUUGAAUACUGCCAGACUAGAGUGCAGGAGAGGUCAGCGGAAUUCCAGGUGUAGAGGUGAAAUUCGUAGAUAUCUGGAGGAACAACAGCGGCGAAGGCGGCUGACUGGACUGUUACUGACGCUAAGGCGCGAAAGCGUGGGGAGCAAACAGG
rnacentral:rRNA from 1 species